rnacentral:piRNA from 1 species
UGAGCCCACCGGAGACUCAAGAUGAAGGCU